rnacentral:rRNA from 1 species
GCAAAUCUCUUAAAGCCGUUCUCAGUUCGGAUUNUAGGCUGCAACUCGCCUACAUGAAGUCGGAAUCGCUAGUAAUCGCGGAUCAGCAUGCCGCGGUGAAUACGUUCCCGGGCCUUGUACACACCGCCCGUCACACCAUGAGAGUUUGUAACACCCAAAGCCGGUGGGGUAACCUUUUGGAGCCAGCCGUCUAAGGUGGGACAGAUGAUUGGGGUGAAGUCGUAACAAGGUAAC